rnacentral:rRNA from 1 species
AUUGAACGCUGGCGGCAGGCCUAACACAUGCAAGUCGAACGGUAGCACAGAGAGCUUGCUCUCGGGUGACGAGUGGCGGACGGGUGAGUAAUGUCUGGGAAACUGCCUGAUGGAGGGGGAUAACUACUGGAAACGGUAGCUAAUACCGCAUAACGUCGCAAGACCAAAGAGGGGGACCUUCGGGCCUCUUGCCAUCAGAUGUGCCCAGAUGGGAUUAGCUAGUAGGUGGGGUAACGGCUCCCCUAGGCGACGAUCCCUGGCUGGUCUGAGAGGAUGACCAGCCACACUGGAACUGAGACACGGUCCAGACUCCUACGGGAGGCAGCAGUGGGGAAUAUUGCACAAUGGGCGCAAGCCUGAUGCAGCCAUGCCGCGUGUAUGAAGAAGGCCUUCGGGUUGUAAAGUACUUUCAGCGGGGAGGAAGGUGUUGUGGUUAAUAACCACAGCAAUUGACGUACC